AUUGAACGCUGGCGGCAGGCCUAACACAUGCAAGUCGAGCGAGCGGCGGACGGGUGAGUAAUGUCUGGGAAACUGCCUGAUGGAGGGGGAUAACUACUGGAAACGGUAGCUAAUACCGCAUACCAUCAGAUGUGCCCAGAUGGGAUUCGCUAGUAGGUGGGGUAACGGCGCACCUAGGCGACGCUCCCUAGCUGGUCUGAGCGGAUAACCAGCCACACUGGAACUGAGACACGGUCAAGACUCCUACGGGAGUCAGCAGUGGGGAAUAUUGCACAAUGGGCGAAAGCCUGAUGCAGGCAUGCCGGGUGUAUGAAGAAGGCCUUCGGGUUGGAAAGCACUUUCAGCGGGGAGGCGUUACCCGCAGAAGAAGCACCGGCUAACUCCGUGCCAGCAGCCGCGGUAAUAC
rnacentral:rRNA from 1 species